rnacentral:lncRNA from 1 species
UUGCACUCUCCUUCAUCAUGUAAAAUCUCUUGUAACCUGGAGGUGAUAUAUGCUCUAUUGGAGUUGGAGAGAAGCUGUAACUUUGGUCUAGUAUGUAAGUAACGGUGACAAGUGUGGCAUGGCAAUUCCAAGCCUUCCUGCUUGGAAAAAUUCAGAGAAGCUUCACUACAAUACAACCAGGAUGAUCUCACCAUAUCUUCUUCCUGUCACAACUUCCUUCCAGAAAGCAGUGCACUUGGGCCGGCUUCUGUGAUUGUCUCCAGCUCACGGUUUCUUGUUAAGUCAGCUGGCAGUGUAUGGUUUCAUGAAUGGUCUGUGUCUUUCUGGCAGUUUAAGUAUCUUAUUUGCAUUGUCAUUCCUUGACUAAUCAGGCUGACCUAUGCCCAUACCCAAUAAUGACAGCUGCAGUUUCACAUUGUUUUACAUUGUUUUAACUCAUAUCAGAAUUGAAAUGAUUUUUUUUGUGAGUAACCUUGAAAGGUUAUUAGGAAACUUACGCGUAUUUUUUUAAUGUGGAUGCUCUAAUUUUUCUAUGAGAAUUUCAGAAGAUGUGCUUAUUCUUCAAAAGGUUAAUCCCAAGCGAUUUGGCCUUAGCUUCGUGAGUCCAAGAGGAUGCAGUUCGACCCUCGAACACAUAUGUAAGUAACAAUUUGACAUAUACAAUUGUUAAUUGAUCUCAUAAUUCACAAUAAAAUAUAUCGAGAGUAUAUGAUCUUGUAAGCCAUAACUGAAAUGGAGCUCUAAGCUCACUUUCCAUCAAACCAACAUUUCUUUUAUUUAUGAAGCUAUUUAUAUGCAUUGAUAUCUCUUGUAGUAUAUCUUAGUGAACUUUUGUCUUGACAGGCCCCCUUGGUAUCUUAUUCAGCACAUUGGAAUCAAUCUUCUUGUAGAAUUUCUUGAGGUCUUGACCACCUUUGGCAACCAAAUGGUCUACUUCAGUCUCAUAUCUUUCAUACAGCGCAGGCAAAGUGAGAGCACACAAAAACCCUGGUCAAGAAGACACAGUAAAUUGUUAAUGCAUAUGAAAAAUUUUAUUUUACAAGGAUGCCUGUUUGAUUUAUCAUUGCAUUUACUAAGCAGAUAUGAAAAUGUUGUUAUUUUACAUUCAUGAGUGCUUGAUAAGUCAUUGCAUUUACCAUGUUCUGUCCUAAUUAUUCUUGCCCUUGGUCAAAAAAAAAUGUUAUGUCCUAAUUUUGUUUUUGACUUGUUGAAAUUCAGUGUCCCAGCGAUACUUACCAACAUAUAGUAGAGUUGUGAAACUGCAUGUCUCUCCAAUAACUGCCAAUAUCCACAGAGAUCCUAUCACCUAUUUAUGUAACAACAAUGGAGUUAGUUAAUCACCAAAUUAAUUGCAACUGGAAAUUAACUUUUAAAUCCCAAUUCAUGGGGAUAUUUUUGUUGACUACAUAUUAAUAGUUUUUAGAUUGUGAAUUCAUUGCAAAUAUAUAUGAAACAUCGUUGCAACUGUUAUAGGUCUUGCUGUCACUAAAUCAGAAAAAAAAAAGAAACAGCAAAUUUUGAUUGUACCGCAAGGAACUUCCUGAGUUCUUUCCCGCAUGAAAUGUCAUACAGGACUGCUGAAAAGUGCGCCACUUUGGAAUGCAAUGUCAGUGCAAGUUCUCUGAAGGCAUGUUCAGAAACAAUCACUUCUGGGAUCCGUGGAGGUGCCCUGUAAAUCAAGGUUGGUUAGCUGAGAUGUUACUCAGAGACCAAAAGGAAAACAAAUAGGAGUACGUGGUUGAAAGAUUUCAAUUUGAUGCCACCACUGCAUCUUCUUCAUCUAAUUUAUUGUGUUGUGUUUUUUAUUCAGUAUGGUAGUGCAAACCUGUCAAAGAGAGGUGCAGCAUUGGACCAAAUGAAGAGCACAAGCAUCCCAAGGAGUGCAAUGUGGCAAAGGAGUGUUACU